rnacentral:lncRNA from 1 species
GAAUGUAGUAGGAAAGGAGCUUCACUACUCAGGAAUUAAAAAAAUAAUGACGACAACUAAGGAGAAAAGUCCCAAUGUAAAGUAGUAUUCUCAAAGAUUAAGGAAGAUCUUGUGGCAAUGGAUAUCUUGCCUUAGACGAGACUACGGGUAGAUCCGGACAUAACUUAUUUUCGCAUGGAACCGGAGCAUGAGGACUUGUACUCGGAACUAGAAAACCUCGUAGCAUGAUGACUCGGAGCCAGAAAGUCCCGGAGCAUGAGAACUUGGACUUACAGCUCUGAAUAUUGGAUCUAAUGGAUCUUUACUCUUUUCUUUAAUUAUAUUCACUAUUUCGAAUGAGUAAUAUUAUUUACGGAAUAUGAAGAGAAUGUAUAAUAAAGAUGUAAAAUAAUUAA